rnacentral:rRNA from 1 species
UCGCAUGGGCGAAGCCUGACGGAGCACGCCGCGUGAGUGAUGAAGGUCUUCGGAUCGUAAAACUCUGUUAUCAGGGAAGAACAAACGUGUAAGUAACUGUGCACGUCUUGACGGUACCUGAUCAGAAAGCCACGGCUAACUACGUGCCAGCAGCCGCGGUAAUACGUAGGUGGCAAGCGUUAUCCGGAAUUAUUGGGCGUAAAGCGCGCGUAGGCGGUUUUUUAAGUCUGAUGUGAAAGCCCACGGCUCAACCGUGGAGGGUCAUUGGAAACUGGAAAACUUGAGUGCAGAAGAGGAAAGUGGAAUUCCAUGUGUAGCGGUGAAAUGCGCAGAGAUAUGGAGGAACACCAGUGGCGAAGGCGACUUUCUGGUCUGUAACUGACGCUGAUGUGCGAAAGCGUGGGGAUCAAACAGGAUUAGAUACCCUGGUAGUCCACGCCGUAAACGAUGAGUGCUAAGUGUUAGGGGGUUUCCGCCCCUUAGUGCUGCAGCUAACGCAUUAAGCACUCCGCCUGGGGAGUACGACCGCAAGGUUGAAACUCAAAUGAAAUUGACGGA